rnacentral:rRNA from 1 species
AGAGUUUGAUCAUGGCUCAGAUUGAACGCUGGCGGCAGGCCUAACACAUGCAAGUCGAGCGGUAACAGAAAGUAGCUUGCUACUUUGCUGACGAGCGGCGGACGGGUGAGUAAUGCUUGGGAACAUGCCUUGAGGUGGGGGACAACAGUUGGAAACGACUGCUAAUACCGCAUAAUGUCUACGGACCAAAGGGGGCUUCGGCUCUCGCCUUUAGAUUGGCCCAAGUGGGAUUAGCUUGUUGGUGAGGUAAUGGCUCACCAAGGCAACGAUCCCUAGCUGGUUUGAGAGGAUGAUCAGCCACACUGGAACUGAGACACGGUCCAGACUCCUACGGGAGGCAGCAGUGGGGAAUAUUGCACAAUGGGCGAAAGCCUGAUGCAGCCAUGCCGCGUGUGUGAAGAAGGCCUUCGGGUUGUAAAGCACUUUCAGUCAGGAGGAAAGGGUGUGAGUUAAUACCUCACAUCUGUGACGUUACUGACAGAAGAAGCACCGGCUAACUCCGUGCCAGCAGCCGCGGUAAUACGGAGGGUGCGAGCGUUAAUCGGAAUUACUGGGCGUAAAGCGUACGCAGGCGGUCUGUUAAGCGAGAUGUGAAAGCCCCGGGCUCAACCUGGGAACUGCAUUUCGAACUGGCAAACUAGAGUGUGAUA